rnacentral:misc_RNA from 1 species
GAUGAAGAACGCAGCGAAAUGCGAUAAGUAAUGCGAAUUGCAGAAUUCCAGUGAGUCAUCGAAUCUUUGAACGCACAUUGCGCCUUUUGGUAUUCCGAAGGGCAUGCCUGUUCGAGCGUCAUUAUCACCCCUCAAGCCAUCGGCUUGGUGUUGGACGGUUUGGUGGAGGCCCCCUCGGGGGCUCCUGCCCCUCCCAAAGACAAUGACGGCGGCCUCGUUGGACCCCCGGUACACUGAGUUCUUCACGGGACACGUAUCGGACACAUGGGUUUACGGGACACGGUCUGCCUCCCCUCAGGGAGAAUCUUUCUAAGGUUGACCUCGGAUCAGGUAGGGAUACCCGCUGAACUUAAGCAUACAAUAAGCGGAGGA